rnacentral:rRNA from 1 species
CCUACGGGUGGCAGCAGUGAGGAAUAUUGGUCAAUGGCCGGAAGGCUGAACCAGCCAAGCCGCGUGAGGGAGGAAGGCGCAGAGCGUCGCAGACCUCUUUUGCCGGGGGACAAAAGGCCGGACGGGUCCGGUUCUGAGGGUACCCGGAGAAAAAGCAUCGGCUAACCCCGUGCCAGCAGCCGCGGUAAUACGGAGGAUGCGAGCGUUAUCCGGAUUCAUUGGGUUUAAAGGGUGCGCAGGCGGGCCUUUAAGCCGGCGGUGAAAUGGCGGGGCUCAACCCCGCCGGGCCGUCGGAACUGGGGGCCUUGAGUGCGGGGGAGGCAUGCGGAAUGCGCGGUGUAGCGGUGAAAUGCAUAGAUAUCGCGCAGAACCCCGAUUGCGAAGGCAGCGUGCCGUGCCGCCACUGACGCUGAGGCACGAAAGCGCGGGGAUCGAACAGGAUUAGAUACCCCUGUAGUC